rnacentral:rRNA from 1 species
UGGGGAAUAUUGCACAAUGGGCGCAAGCCUGAUGCAGCCAUGCCGCGUGUGUGAAGAAGGCCUUCGGGUUGUAAAGCACUUUCAGCGAGGAGGAAGGUGGUGGACUUAAUACGUUCAUCAAUUGACGUUACUCGCAGAAGAAGCACCGGCUAACUCCGUGCCAGCAGCCGCGGUAAUACGGAGGGUGCAAGCGUUAAUCGGAAUUACUGGGCGUAAAGCGCACGCAGGCGGUUUGUUAAGUCAGAUGUGAAAUCCCCGGGCUCAACCUGGGAACUGCAUUUGAAACUGGCAAGCUAGAGUCUCGUAGAGGGGGGUAGAAUUCCAGGUGUAGCGGUGAAAUGCGUAGAGAUCUGGAGGAAUACCGGUGGCGAAGGCGGCCCCCCUGGACGAAGACUGACGCUCAGGUGCGAAAGCGUGGGGCAGCAAACAGGAUUAGAUACCCUGGUAGUCCAGCGCUGUAAAACGAUGUCGAUUUGGAGGUUGUGCCCUUGAGGCGUGGCUUCCGGAGCUAACGCGUUAAAUCGACCGCCUGGGGGAGUACGGCC